rnacentral:lncRNA from 1 species
CAUUCCCUUUUGUGUCAUAACUCGGUAUGAUUGUGUGAAUUGCAAGAUGUGCAAUGAAAAUAAGUUUGGGGUGGAAAUUUUGAAAGGGAAGGCAAGUGCAUAAGAUGAGAUCAUACAAAAAGAAAAACAGUAUGUAUGUCAUUUAUAAGAAAAAAAAAAGAAAAUAAGAAAAGAAAAAAUGCACUUGCCGAGACCUUAGAGAUAUGAAAGGCUCGGAAAGAAAAAAAAAAAAAAAAAGAAAAGAAAAAAAAUUGCACUUGCUGAGACCUUAGAGUCCAACAGAUAUGAAAUGCUCGGAAAGUUGAGUAGAAAAAGAGUCAAAAGAGUUUUUACCCCAAAAAUAUAUGUGAUGCACAGGAAAAGAAGAAAAAGUACACAAUAUGAUUACCGAGUUCAAAACCCUUUGUUACCCAAUUUUUUUUUUUUAUCC